rnacentral:rRNA from 1 species
CCUACGGGUAGCAGCAGUGAGGAAUAUUGGUCAAUGGACGAGAGUCUGAACCAGCCAAGUAGCGUGAAGGAUGACUGCCCUAUGGGUUGUAAACUUCUUUUAUAUGGGAAUAAAACGUUCCAUGUGUGGGAUUUUGUAUGUACCAUAUGAAUAAGGAUCGGCUAACUCCGUGCCAGCAGCCGCGGUAAUACGGAGGAUCCGAGCGUUAUCCGGAUUUAUUGGGUUUAAAGGGAGCGUAGGUGGAUUGUUAAGUCAGUUGUGAAAGUUUGCGGCUCAACCGGAAAAUUGCAGUUGAAAAUGGCAGUCUUGAGUACAGUAGAGGUGGGCGGAAUGCGUGGUGUAGCGGUGAAAUGCUUAGAUAGCACGAAGAACUCCGAUUGCGAAGGCAGUUCACUGGACUGCAACUGACACUGAGGCUCGAAAGUGUGGGUAUCAAACAGGAUUAGAUACCCGUGUAGUC